UACCAGCACCCCGAGUGGUCGGGACGAUUAUUGGGCCUAAAGCAUCCGUAGCCGGUUUUACAAGUCCCCCGUUAAAUCCAGCUGCUUAACAGAUGGGCUGCGGAGGAUACUAUAAGACUAGGAGGCAGGAGAGGCAAGCGGUACUCAGUGGGUAGGGGUAAAAUCCGUUGAUCCAUUGACGACCACCAGUGGCGAAGGCGGCAUCCUGGACCGGUAUUGACGCUGAGGCGCGAAAGCCAGGGGAGCAAACGGG
rnacentral:rRNA from 1 species